GGGCGUGUCCCGUGCGCGGGAUGCGGCUGCCGGCGGCGGUGCGGGAGCGGGUGGCGGCGGUGCACGGCGGCGUGGGGCUGCUGGAGCGCCUGCGGCUGUACGACGGCUGGGCCGCCUGCUAUGAGCAGGUACCGGGCCGGGGAGCCGGAGGGAUGUUCCGCUCCCCGGCGCCGCUGACCGCCGUGUCCCGCAGGAUGUGGCGGCUCUGGAGUACCGGGCACCGCACCUGGCCGCCGCUUCGCUCGCCUUCGCCUUCCCCGCGCCGCCCGCCGAGGCGCGACUUCUCGACGUGGCCUGUGGCACCGGGCUUGUAGCGCGGGAGGUACCGGGCGGGAUGGGGAUGGGGAGGGGGAAGCGGCGAGGGGAGAUAACGGGGCCGUCUGUCCCCGCAGCUCCACCGCCGCGGCUUCCGCUGCCUGCACGGCGUGGACGGCAGCGUGGGGAUGCUGGAGCGGGCGCGGAGCACCGGGCUCUACCGGGAGCUGCAGCAGUGCGUCCUGGGCAGGGAGCCCCUGCCCGCGCCCGCAGGUAACGGGCCGACACCGGUGGGGAGGGGCUCCUCCAGAGGGUCCCCCCGGUAAUCCACGCGUGUCCCCCCAGAGCACUAUGACGCCGUGACCGUGGUGGGGGCCCUGGGCGACGGGCAGGUGCCAAGCGCGGCCGUGCCGGAGCUGCUGCGUGUCACCAAGCCGGGAGGCUUUCUCUGCCUGACAACCAGGAGCAACCCCUCGAACCUGCGGUACAAGGCAGAGCUGGAGGCGGCGCUGGAGGAGCUGGAGAGGCAGGGAGCCUGGCAGAAGGUGCUGGCGCAGGAGGUGGAGCGCUGGGAGAAGGCCACCUCCGAGGAGGAGAGCACCCGGGGCACCGGCUACAUCUCUGGCGUGGUCUAUGUCUAUCGGAAAUGCCCCGUGCCCCGCCUCGAGGAGGGCUGAGAGCCGAUGGGCUCUGGGCUGGGUGUGAGCGCUUGGCCCCUUGUGAAACCCAGUCCCGGAGCAGGGCAGCUGCUGGGGGGUGACAGCAUUUUGGGGAGUCUCCACAUUCCCUUCCCUGGCUCCUUCCCCCUGAGGAGUGGGCCCUGGAGACCUUGCCUGCUUCUCAGCAUGGGGACGGGCUCCUGGGCUCUGACGUUCAGGUGCUGUCCCCAACACCGUGAUGUCUCACAGACCCACCUGGCUGUCCAGAGCCAUCUCCAGUCCAGGAUGUCUUCUCCCACAUGCCCACCUCUCAGCCCUCAUCGUCAAAAUCUGGAUCCUUCUUCAUCUUCCCCAGUCCAGACCUCCAUGGUCUUUACUUGGGGACUGCUGGAGGAAGGUCCUGUGGUUUCCCAUCCUUGUACCCCCCAGGAGUUAACUCAGCGCACCCUGAGGUACAAGAGACCUCCACACCCAGACCAGGAGCUGCUGUGCCAAGAUGACUCCCAGCCGGAGAACUUUUCCAAGUGCCACGUCGGCCUUUCAUCCUGCAGCAGCUGCUUUUCCUACAGCUUUGUAGUUAAUGGUCUGGUUGGGAAAUGAGGCUGGAAGGGACUUGAGGAGCCGCCCAGCAUCUCCUGCCCAGCCUGUUCCCCAAGCCCCUUGCCAGGCUGCCUCUACUCUUCCUCCUCUGCUGCUCCCUUGGGAAGUUUUUUACCCAAAUCUCUUGCUGGGAUAUUUCUUUUUUUCUGCCUGUUCCCCCAGACCUGUUCCUGCUCGUCCUGUUCCCAUGGCCCUGGGGAACAGGUUACUUCCUUCCCCUCAGGAGCUCUCGUGGCUGUGUCUAUUCCCAUCUCCCACCCGGAGCAUCCCACACCUCCCAAACUCGUGCUUCCAAUGGCUCUUGUCACUCCUCCACAUUGUCCCGCCCCCAGGCCUCGGGAUGCCCGCACCCAUCGUGGGUAGCUGCCCUGCUCCCUUCUCCACCCUCUUUGUCCCCAGCACUGUCCCCUGAGCAGCUGGGGCUUGUGGCUGAUCCCAUCCCUGUGCUUGGCUGUUGAAUAAACCCCUUGCCUGCCCACUGCA
ensembl:lncRNA